GUGCUUGCUUCAGCAGCACAUAUACUAAAAUUGAAAUACAGAGGUUAACAUGGCUUGUGCAAGGAUGACACACAAAUCUGUGAAGCAUUCCAUAUUCCA
rnacentral:snRNA from 1 species